GCAGGCUGGCUUCCGGUCCAGGCCUUCCUCUCUUCCUCAGCUGAAAGACAACAUCCAGAAGGUGACAACCGAAGUGGGGGAUGAAUUUAAGGAGCCAACUUUGGCUGAGGAACAUGUUAAGCUUCCUGCAAGGGCUCAGUCGCAGAUAAAACAAGUUGCACAUCCUUUCCUUGGUCACAACACACCGGUCCACGCUCUCCUCACGAUGACUGGUGACGAUCGACAGUGAUGAGGAAACUGUUGUCUGUGACUGCCUGGUGAAGUGGACCUGUCAUCCAACACUGAAGUUGAAGCUUUUAAAUGCUGAGGAACAUGUUCAGCUUCCUGCAAGGGCUCAGUCGCAGAAAAAAACAAGUUGCACAUCCUUUCCUUGGUCAUGACACACCGGUCCACACUCUCAUCACGAUGAUCAGUGACUGCCUGGUGAAGUGGACCUGUCAUCCAACACUGAAGUUGAUGCUUUU